UACAGAGGGUGCAAGCGUUGUUCGGAAUUACUGGGCGUAAAGCGCGUGUAGGUGGUGGCGUAAGUCGGAUGUGAAAUCCCUCGGCUUAACCGAGGACGUGCAUUCGAUACUGUGUCACUUGAGUACUGGAGGGGAUGGCGGAAUUCCCGGUGUAGAGGUGAAAUUCGUAGAUAUCGGGAGGAACACCUGUGGCGAAGGCGGCCAUCUGACAGUCACUGACACUGAGACGCGAAAGCGUGGGUAGCAAACAGG
rnacentral:rRNA from 1 species